GACGAACCACACAAACGUUAUUCGGAAUUACUGGGCUUAAAGGGUGCGUAGGCGGCGCGGAAAGUUGGGUGUGAAAUCCCUCGGCUCAACCGAGGAACUGCGCCCAAAACUACCGUGCUUGAGGGAGAUAGAGGUGAGCGGAACUUAGGGUGGAGCGGUGAAAUGCGUUGAUAUCCUAAGGAACACCCGUGGCGAAAGCGGCUCACUGGGACUCUUCUGACGCUGAGGCACGAAAGCUAGGGUAGCGAACGGG
rnacentral:rRNA from 1 species